rnacentral:lncRNA from 1 species
GUGGCGAUGGUGGUGGGAUGAGGAUUCGUCUCUCUCAAUUCACUACGGAGAAAACCUAGAAACUGGGUCUCCUUUCGUAGGAGAAGCAACACGGCCAAAGGGCUUGGAUAUGCCAUGAGUAUUGCUGAGGAGCUGAAAUUUGUCAAGGAUAUUGCUGAAACCACGGGUGUGAUCUCGGACCUCUACAAGUUUCGUCUUUUUUAUAUAUGUUUGUUACAUUUUACAUUUUUUUUGAGAUUGGGAUAUUUUAUGUAGAGGAAUGGUUAUGUAGAAAUAUAACUUCAUU